ensembl:lncRNA
AUAAACUUGUUUUUUUGUUUGUUUGUUGUUUGCAGAAUUUAUUAAUCUGUUAAUUUUAUAAAAAUUCUAUUACUUAUGUUUAUGCAUUAUACAUUAAUGUUUAUUUAUACAUCUUGAAAUGUUGCAAAUGUAUUAGAAUAUGUAGAAAUAACAUGAACUUAGAUUAAUAAAUUCUGUAAAAGUAUUGUUCAUGGUUAGUUGGUGACAUCUAAAGCACUAAUUAACAUUAACAAACUGAAUUUUACUGUAAAGUGUUACCUAUUGUUUAAUCGUUUCUUUUUUUUUAAAUUAGUUUUUCAAAGAAGACACUGGUGCCUAUGAAAGAAGCCACAAGUACAACAGUGAAGGUACAACAGGACACUGGUCCUGUUUGGCAGCAUGUGUACAGUGUUUUUCACUCCGACUCUUCUAGUUUGUCUCAUAGGGCAGAAGGUGGACGGUGCACUCGAUAGCUUUUGGUCAUCACGUGCUCCCCCCUCCUUACUGAAAAAAUGUCUGCGCCUGAUAUGGGUUAUUGUACGGUACAAUUCUCUGAAAUACUUCAAGAGAAGGUCCUGAGAUAGUGUUUUUUUUUCCUGAAAGAGGCUUUAGCUCUUCUCAGACUGUAUUUGUCAUGCUUUUUAUGAUCUUGUUUUGGG